UAUCGGACCCAGUACUAGGGUUAUUAACAUGCAUUGUGUUUAUUUAGGUUCAGCAAUUUGCUUGAGCAAGCGUGUGUAGAUUGCGUCGAUGGUGGUCAGAUGACAAAAGAUUUAGCCGCCUGUAUCUAUGGCCUUCCCAAGUAAGUGCACGCGUUAUACAAUUUACCGUUUACCCAAUUUACUGUUGAAGCCAUAUUUCAACAACCAUACAGUAAUGUCCGUGACUUCUGACGUCCAAAGCCAGGCAGCUCAAAGGGGAUUAGAGGUGCACAGGAUAGAGCAUUUUACUAUCCGUCCGGAUACCGGAUAUGGUUAAUUAAUAAAUUUCAAGCCCAGUCAUUGAAGGUUAAAUAAUUAUUUUCAUUGGUUAUAAAGUGAAGGAAAGAACUCCACAGUCCAAUAACGAUAAACAUGUAUGGUUGGAAAAGCCUUGCUCAAAAGGUUCAAAUUUCGAACCCACCUUUUCGCAUUUGCAAGCAAGCAUCGAAACUGUUGAAAAUAUUGCCAGCUACUCUGCGAACAUUUCAAGUUUUAUAAAAGAUAUAUACUCGUACUUUUUAAACAUAUUACAUCAUUUCCUACCUGAAAAGAAGGCCUAAAUCUUAAAUAAACAUGAUCCGGUAUUCGGCCGGAAAUUUGAUAUAUCCUGUCGGAUACAGGAAUAAUAGGUUUAGCUUGCUAUUCAUCCGGAUAUGAUAUCCGGUUCAUUCCUAAAGAAGAUAUAGGUGUUAGCACAAUGUGUGUAAAUUACAUUAUAUUUUGCAUUUUAUGUAUACUGCAUUAACAUUUUUCUCUUUAACCUUUUAGCGUAAAGCGCGAACAUUACCUGAACACUGUAGAUUUCUUGGACGCAGUCAGAGACCGUUUCUUGGAAAAAUGGGAAACAUCAUAAUGAGAAAAUAAAACAUAGACCAUCUAUUGUGUGUGCAAGGUGAUUCGGAGAGAUUACAAGAUCAGACAAAGCAAGAGUAUGAUAAUUACUUUAAAAUCUAAUCAGAAAAGGGGCUCAUGGAGCAUACUAUUACUGAAGCAAAUUAUAAUUUAAUAGGUCUUCUGCACCCAGGCAAUAGUGUUUCACGAUGUCAAUGCAUGGAUAAGUCGUAUAGUCAGUGGUCAACAAAUUCAACAAAGCCUUUCUUCUAAAUUUGAAUUGAAUGAAACUCCUACGCUCUUUGGUUUCUUGGGAGGUUAUUCGUGCUCUCCUGCAUCGAAAUACUAUUUCCUUGGUCCAUAGUCUGUCAAGAUAUUAUGGUCUUCCAGCCCGGCAAACUGCAAAGCUAAAAAACAGAAUUCCUGAAAUUUGUUUGAUUUGAACUGAAGCUCGCCACAAAUCCUUUGUCUCAAUUUCAUUGAAUAUUAUUCGUCGCAGUUGCAGUUAAUUACAUCACACAUACUUUUUGGUCUUGGAGCCACGCUCUCGUGCAUUAGUAAAUUACGCAAGGUGAUUGGCUCACGAUUCAUGAGAACGAGGCUCCCAGGCCAAAUGACGUAAUUAUCGAAAGGGUGUAUACUGGACUAUUACUUCAUACGAAAAUACGAUGAGUUCACAUUCAAAUCACAAAUUAAUAUAAACUCAGAUAAAAACAUAACACAAUGACUUAUGUUUAGUUUCCACAUCAUAAUACUUUGAUAGACUAUGCUUGGUCAAAGGACAUGUUUAUAUGAUUCAAAUAGAUAGCAAUAGGUAUAGGUUACUUAUAGGUAGAUAUAGGUCGAGUUAUUUAGUUGUUUUACAAAUCCUCUAGUAAUUAUUAUUUUAGUUGUAGGUAUUGCCUAUAAAAUCUCUUGUAAUUUUCUGCUUUAGCUUAUUUGCGUGGUCAAAAAAUGAAAGAUCAAAUCUUACUUUUUGUUGUAUUUAUCAUUUGAUGCAUUAAUAC